UGGGAAUUACUGUAUUCAAGAGAGGAUCAAUAUCACAGGACAAAAGUUCAUCACGUUGGGGACACCAAGGCAGGAACUCAAGCAAAGACCAUGGAGAAAUGCGGCAUACCACCUGCCAACUCUAAGCUACUGUUCCAGAAUGAUGCCUGCCUGCCUGCCUGCCUGCCUGCCCA